rnacentral:rRNA from 1 species
GAUGAACGCUGGCGGCGUGCCUAAUACAUGCAAGUCGAGCGAAUGGAUUAAGAGCUUGCUCUUAUGAAGUUAGCGGCGGACGGGUGAGUAACACGUGGGUAACCUGCCCAUAAGGCUGGGAUAACUCCGGGAAACCGGGGCUAAUACCGGAUAACAUUUUGAACCGCAUGGUUCGAAAUUGAAAGGCGGCUUCGGCUGUCACUUAUGGAUGGACCCGCGGCGCAUUAGCUAGUUGGUGAGGUAACGGCUCACCAAGGCAACGAUGCGUAGCCGACCUGAGAGGGUGAUCGGCCACACUGGGACUGAGACACGGCCCAGACUCCUACGGGAGGCAGCAGUAGGGAAUCUUCCGCAAUGGACGAGAGUCUGACGGAGCAACGCCGCGUGAGUGAUGAAGGCUUUCGGGUCGUAAAACUCUGUUGUUAGGGAAGAACAAGUGCUAGUUGAAUAAGCUGGCACCUUGACGGUACCUAACCAGAAAGCCACGGCUAACUACGUGCCAGCCGCCGCCGUAA